UAUCUCUGUAGAGUCUGCAUAUCAAUAAGCGGAGGAAAAGAAACUAACAAGGAUUCCCUUAGUAACGGCGAGUGAAGCGGGAAGAGCUCAAGUUUGAAAUCUUCAAGGUUCUACCUUGACGAAUUGUAGUUUAAAGAAGUGUUUUCUGUUAGAUGAGUAGCAAAAGUUCCUUGGAAUGGGACAUCAUAGAGGGUGAGAAUCCCGUAUUUGGUUAUUCAUUCUAGCUUUGUGAUACACUUUCAAAGAGUCGGAUUGUUUGGGAAUGCAGUCCAAAAUGGGUGGUAAAUUUCAUCUAAAGCUAAAUAUUGGCGAGAGACCGAUAGCGAACAAGUACCGUGAGGGAAAGAUGAAAAGAACUUUGAAAAGAGAGUUAAACAGUACGUGAAAUUGUCAAAAGGGAAGCGUUUGACACCAGUGUUGUUUUUCUCGAAAAUCAAUUACAAAUGGCUUGAUUUUGUGUUGUAUUGACCUUAAUCAGCUUUCUUCACUUUUUUCGAGUCUUUCUUAAUGCACUUUUCGUUUAACAAGUCAACAUCAGUUUCUUUUGUUGUAAAAGAGUCAUUCGGAAGGUGGCUUUCUUUUCGGAGAAAGUGUUUAUAGCCCUAUACUUCUACAAUCGGAGAGAUUGAGGUCUGCAGCGUAGAUCCUUCGGGGUUAGAUACACUUGUGCUAAGUUAUAGCUUUUCAUAGACAACUUGUUGACUAUAAUUUAGUCAUGUCGCUUACUCGCUUAUGCUAUUUUACCUACGCUUAGGAUGUUGACUGAUAUGUAGUCGUA
rnacentral:rRNA from 1 species